rnacentral:rRNA from 1 species
CCCUUAGAUGUUCUGGGCCGCACGCGCGCUACACUGACACGUUCAUCAAGUCUAUAACCUUGACCGAGAGGUCUGGGUAAUCUUUUAAAAACGUGUCGUGCUGGGGAUAGAUUAUUGCAAUUAUUAAUCUUCAACGAGGAAUUCCUAGUAAACGCAAGUCAUCAACUUGCAUUGAUUACGUCCCUGCCCUUUGUACACACUACCCGUCGCUACUACCGAUUGAAUGAUUUAGUGAGUACCAGGGACCGAGCGCUUUGGUUGGGUUUCCUUCCCUAGCGCUUGGGAACUGUCGCAAACUUGACCAUUUAGAGGAAGUAAAAGUCGUAACA